ensembl:antisense Frs3os fibroblast growth factor receptor substrate 3, opposite strand
GUCUGCUUCCCAACCAUCAGUUGACCCAAGGCGCAGGCCUCUGCAGCUCCAGCUUGAGUCACCCAACUGGCCCUGCCCAGGACUGAUCCAUCCUCAGGAAUGGUUCUGACGACAGAAGACUGUCCAGGAAGGCUGGCUCACCCCAGCUCUCCCGUACCCGCUCCUUAGCUCGUGUGUGUAUAUGACAGGGUGACUGGGGUGGGGUCUCUCACCGGCGGGCUGUGGGGGCCCUCGAGGCAGGUCCAGCUCUGGUGGGUGGCUGCUCCGCGUGAUGAUGACCGGCUCCUCCGUCACGUUGAUGCUGUUACACUGCAUGAGGUCCUGCAGCAGGUUGAAGAUGUCCUCUGCCCUCGAACACUUGAAUGCAAAGAUGCCUGGGGAAGCUCCAGUACAGGGUAACUGAAGUUUGUAUAAACAGGACGAGAAAGACGGCACGACAUGUGAAAGCUGGACAAGACCAGAAGGACAGAAGUGGUGAUACGUAGCUGUAAUCCCACACUUGGGAGGGAUGAGGUGCAAGCCAGGAAAGGCCCUUCAGCAAUCAACCCGUAACACGCAUUGCUUUGUGCUGUCUCGGGAGAGACAGCUCUGUCUGCGUGCAGCACAGUCCCAAGAAGGACUCCUCGUGCUGAGCAUGCGUGGACCUAAGAAGCAAGGCCAGACCUCAUGUCCCAACCUCAAGCUCAUGAGCAGCCUGCCAGCCCCUGAGCCCUGCCUGUAGAGGGCACAUGGGCAGGGGAUACAGUAUACUCCACUGCCCACAGGUGAAGGUGGACAAAGGUCAGGCUCUGGAAGGUUACGCUGUAGACGAGAGACCCAAAAUCCUGCUGCCCAAGUCUCUGUGCAAGCUCCUCAGCCCUGAGUAGCCAUUCUCCUGCCUGACUUCUCUUCCACUGUGCACGGAGGCCAGUGUGUAGGGCCUGGCAGCUCAGGAGGGGUUUUCCUAUGCAAAGGCAAUAAAGACCUUGGAACCAUGGC